UCCUCCUUACAGAGGCAGUUUGGUCCGAGUCCCCGACUUGACUCGCUGGUAACAGACCAUGAGGGUUGCGCUCGUUGCGGGACUUAACCCAACAUUUCACAACACGAGCUGACGACAGCCAUGCACCACCUGUGCACCACCCUCGCAGGCGACUCGCUUUCACGAGCUUGCAGGUGCAUGUCAAGCCCUGGUAAGGUUCUUCGCGUUGCAUCGAAUUAAGCAACAUGCUCCGCCGCUUGUGCGGGCCCCCGUCAAUUCCUUUGAGUUUUAGCCUUGCGGCCGUACUCCCCAGGCGGGGCACUUAAUGCGUUAGCUACGGCGCGGAAAACGUGGAAUGUCCCCCACACCUAGUGCCCAACGUUUACGGCAUGGACUAC
rnacentral:misc_RNA from 1 species